CCUACGGGAGGCAGCAGUCGGGAAUUUUGCUCAAUGGGCGAAAGCCUGAAGCAGCAACGCCGCGUGAGGGAUGACGGCCUUCGGGUUGUAAACCUCUUUUCUCAGGGACGAUGAUGACGGUACCUGAGGAAUAAGCCACGGCUAACUACGUGCCAGCAGCCGCGGUAAUACGUAGGUGGCAAGCGUUGUCCGGAUUUACUGGGCGUAAAGAGCGCGCAGGCGGUCGUGCAAGUCGAGUGUGAAAGCCCCCGGCUCAACUGGGGAGGGUCACUCGAUACUGCUCGACUCGAAGGCGGGAGAGGGAAGUGGAAUUCCCGGUGUAGUGGUGAAAUGCGUAGAUAUCGGGAGGAACACCAGUGGCGAAGGCGACUUCCUGGCCCGUUCUUGACGCUGAGGCGCGAAAGCUAGGGGAGCAAACGGGAUUAGAUACCCGGGUAGUC
rnacentral:rRNA from 1 species